GAGACUUUAUCUUAAUAAAAGAAUUUGAGUUGCAUUCAGAAGAUGUAGGUUAGUGUCUUACAGGUCUUA
rnacentral:tRNA from 1 species